GUCAGAAUCAGAAAAGCUUUAGGUUUGUGUUAGAUGGAAGAAAUUUCCAAGUUACCAUUGCCAGAAGCUUUCCUAAAUUUCCUCCAAGCAAAUGGGCUUGACACUUCUAUUUAUACUACCAGCGAUACUACCCCUCGCUAUAUAAGGUUGCAGCCUGGGAGUGAAGAUGAUCUUCAAGAGAUUGAGGCAGAGAUAAACUGUAAGCUUCAGAGAGUUGUUUGGUUACCUGGUUUUUAUUCUCUUCUACCUCACCUUCAGAUUGCUAAUUCAAGGGCAUACAAGGAAGGAAAGAUUUACGGAAUUGAUGCGGCUUCUGGGGCUGCUGUUUUAGCGUUAAAUAUCUCAAGAGGAGAUCAUGUUCUGGAUCUCUGCGCUGCUCCUGGUAAGUGAUCUGUGGUUCCUCUUACAGUCAAUAGCUCCGGUAGAUUUAAUCAUGACCCUUUGUUGGUUCAAAAAAUUGAUCACUCCGCUAAACCCCACUCUAGCAUGAAAUGAAUUCUAUUUCUGUUUUCAUACGAGAACUCAUUUUGAUAUUGAAUGUUGCAUGAGUGCUGAAUGGGACUCGCUUUUGUGUUUCAAUACUAGCGCUUGGUUUUUCCAUGAACAAUCUUUGUUACCUGGCCUAUCUGGGACUGUUUUGCUAGAGCAUGAAGAUAUAAAGUUGGCUUGGUUCUGAGCUUAGGAAAAGGCAGAGCAAGCAAGCACUCAUUUUAAAAAGUUUUAAAUGCUGAAGAGUGUUUUGGAAGGAGCUAAGCAAUGGUACUUUCUGACCACAUUCAUGUCAAAUGCGCAUCUCCACUCAAAACUAAGAACAGAGGGAAUGCCUUACUCUAGAAAUAUCUAAUUGCAAGUGGAUAGUUUUUCAGAAUUGAAUCUCUAAGCUACUUUUUUAUAUCAUGAUUUUGGAAUGCUUAUACAUCAGAUUAUCUUAUGAAAUGCUUGCCAAGCUUACUUGUAAUACGUUCUUGAUCUUCAGGUGCUAAACUUUGCAUGAUAUCCGACCUUCUUGGUGAUUCAGGAUCUGUAACAGGGGUUGAUAUUGCAAGGCAUCGCCUAGCUGCUUGUAGAACAAUGCUGCAGAAAUAUGCACUAGGUGAUAGAUGCCGACUGUUUGUUGCUGAUGGAACAACAUUUUCCCUUAUUCCCGUGACAGAACAUUCAAAUUCUAGAUCAUGUGAAUCUGGAUGUCAAGAAAAGGAAGACACAUUUAAGGAGUGGACGUCAAGGAGACCAUGGAAAGAAAGGAAAAAAGCAAGUAAAGCAACGAAACAUGCUGCUUCAGCAUUUGUUGCAGAAAGUGAUCGUCCCGAACUAAUUUUUUAUGGGCGGAAUUCCGGGGUACUUGGGAUUAGCAAAAGUGAAUUAUAUCAAAUUGUGUGUAGUAGUGAAGUUUUGAGCUGUGGCUAUGAUAAGGUUCUUGUGGAUGCAGAGUGCACUCAUGAUGGGUCAAUUAGACAUAUCCAAAAAUUUGAGCAUUGGGGAUGGGAUACCCUUCAUCAACGUGUAUUGAAUGCAGAGAGAACUGAUAGUUUGACCAAUCUUCAGGUUACUUAUCUAUUGUUAAUCACAUAAUAACCAUUUUCCAUUUGUGUUGUUCGUAAUUCUAAUUCUCAGUGAGCUAAUGGCACAAUUAGAUAGUUAGUAUUAUGGAUUAAGAACUGAAAGUUAUGUAACUCCAUAGCUAAUAUAAUGGAACAUUCAUCUAUUACUUAAUGAAGCUAGUUUAAUGGAAGAUUCACCUAUUACAUAAUGCUUUAUGUGUUUUAAUUAUCUUUAUCUUGGAUUCCUCUAAACAUCUAUUAGGUGCUGAACCACUAUUGGAACAUUUCAGUGCAGUUCUUCCCUAUGCAUUUUGGGACUGAACCUUCUGUUGUACUUUCAUAGUAACAUUCCAUUUCAAUUCUUCCCUAUGCAUCUGCAUCUAGGGUAUCGAAGUUUAUGCUUUAUGGUUUUUUGUCCAAAGCAUAUUCUCAACCUUGUGGGUGAUUUAUCUUUUUCUUUCACAUUAGAUAUAUUUGUCUUCUGUUGCAGUUCAAACUUCUAACAAAUGGUUUUAAGCUGCUAAGACUUGGUGGUUUGCUUGUCUACAGCACUUGCAGGUGUGUUCCAUAUUCAAAUCCAUUUUUUGCAAAAAAUAGUCACAGUUUUAUUAACUUUAUAUGCAUUUACCUUUUUCAUCAUCAGUUUAACAGUUUCUCAGAAUGAAGAUGUGGUAGAAAGAUUUCUCAAGGAAAAUGCUUCUGCUGGUAGGAUUCUCCAUUCUCUAAAGAUGAUGAAUCAUGAUCUCAAUAUUAAUUUGUUGAGCUUUCCAAUUUUUUAAGAUAGAAUGAUCAAAUUUAAAAUGGUUUCCCUUCCCAGCAUAUUAUUCUACCAAUUGUAGUUCCAUGAAAGAAAAUUGCAUUCAUCUUAAGCCAUAACCCUUUUUUUUUGGGGGUCGGUGGUGGUUGUGGGGGAGAACCAAAGUCUCAAAUCUCUUAUCCUUCAUUUUGAGAGAAGUACUAGAAUAACCCUGAUGUCAUGCCAAGUUUUUUUAUCUCUUAUUGUCACCAUGGGGAAUUUCUUUAUAUCUGCAGUCCCUAAAGUCUAAAGACCUUGUCUUUUUAAAGUUUUUAUUACAACAAAAAAGAGCCUCAUGGAGUUGCCAUAUAAUGAUGCUUCCAUUAAUCGUACAGAGUUGCAGGAGAUAGAAGCUGCUAAAGAUUGGCCAUGUAAAAGUGGGGGGAUACUCAAGACCUUGCGCUUUGACCCUGUAACUUCACAAACCAGUGGACUUUUUGUUGCGAAGUUCACAAAACUAGCCUUGUAAUUGAGAUUCUUCUGGUUGAUGUUCACCCUAUGAUCCUGUGAAGAAAUUGAUUUUCUGUCAGAACCCUGUCGAAGUAUUUGGCUUGGGUGAUGGAAUUAAUUGGUAUUAUUUGCUAUCAUUGGAGAAAAUGGCGACGCGUAUUAUUUUGGUUUCAUGCUGUGUUGGUUAAUGCUUCAUUCAGGCGUGAGCAGGCGAGCAGCCCAUCGAGCCAUCAUUCUUUAGAGAACCUACUCGGGUCAAGUUGGAUUACAGUGCAAGGGCAAAAAUAGAAGGAUCAAGAUUGUCUAAUUUUGGUUGCUCAAUCUUAUGUAAGGCUGGGAGACAUUGAUUUUAUGAUGGAACAAGCUAAUUAGUCUUGGUUUGCA
rnacentral:misc_RNA from 1 species